rnacentral:rRNA from 1 species
GACGAACGCUGGCGGCGUGCUUAACACAUGCAAGUCGAACGGAAAGGCCCUGCUUUUGUGGGGUGCUCGAGUGGCGAACGGGUGAGUAACACGUGAGUAACCUGCCCUUGACUUUGGGAUAACUUCAGGAAACUGGGGCUAAUACCGGAUAGGAGCUCCUGCUGCAUGGUGGUGGUUGGAAAGUUUCGGCGGUUGGGGAUGGACUCGCGGCUUAUCAGCUUGUUGGUGGGGUAGGGGCUUCCCAGGGCUUUGACGGGUAGCCGGCCUGAGAGGGUGACCGGCCACAUUGGGCCUGCGAUACGGCCCAGACUCCUACGGGAGGCAGCAGUGGGGAAUAUUGCACAAUGGGCGGAAGCCUGAUGCAGCAACGCCGCGUGCGGGAUGACGGCCUUCGGGUUGUAAACCGCUUUCGCCUGUGACGAAGCGUGCGUGACGGUAAUGGGUAAAGAAGCACCGGCUAACUACGUG